AGCACGGCAUAGUUGUAUACUGUAACACCUUUGCCUUGACUAAGUGGACAAGGCUUGGAGUAAGGCAGAUUAACACCCAUUUAUCUUAUAAUGUGACAGCAGUGGAUUUUACCCAUAAACCUGUUUCUUGUCAUAUGUAAGUCAUGGUGUAUACAUAUAAUUAGCUGAUAUCACUCAGUAGGAUAUUAUGUGCAUUUUUUGUUUGCUUCACCUAGGAGGACAUAUUUCUAAAUCCGAUAAGGUGUUUCUUAUUGAUAUCCUGUGCUGAAUAAACCAACUUUUCUUGUCAAUUUUUUAUAGACUUUUCCCUUUCCACCAAUUCAGCUGUCCUAUAAGCCUUGAUGCCUAAUAAUCCAAACUCGCCAUCAUGGAGAGAAAUCACAAAAAAUCUAUGGGGAUUUUUUAUUUAGAAUUAUAUGUAAGGUUUAGCACAACCAUUGAUGUUAAGCAGAAACAAAGAGCUGCCAUUGAGUUCUUGACCAAAGAAGGAUGUACUGCUGCCGACAUCCACCAAAGGCUCAGAAAUGUGUAUUGUGAGGCGACAACUGAUGUGUGUAAUGUGCGAAGAUGGGUGAAAAAGUUUAAAGGAGAUUAAACCAGAGUUGAAGAUAUUACGCAUAGUGGCAGGCCAUCAACAGCAGUCACAGAUAAAAAUCAAAACAAGGUUGAACUAAUUGAUUCACACAGACCUGUGCAUCACUGUCCGAGAGAUUUUUGGGGAACUUACUGGAAAGUGUGUGCUAAAUGGGUUUCUCAUUAUUAACAACUGAUUUGAAAGAGAAGAUACUACAGGUGUAUUCAGAACUGUUGGCAGCAUUUGAAGCCAACAAGAAAACUUUUUUGGGGAAUUUUUGCACUGGCGAUGAGACCUCGGCAUACCUUUAUGACCUAGAGGCCAAGAAUCAGUUGAAGGAGUGGCGGCACUACAGCUCCCCUAGACUAAAUAUAUUCAGAAGCCAGUGCUCAGCACACAAGUUUAAAUAUCUUCUGGAAUAACAAGGGGGUGAUUUUGCUUGAUUCUCUUGAAUGUGGGACAACAAUUAACAGCGACAGCUACAUUGUAUCACUCUGGAAACUUAGAGAAGCCAUCUGCAAGAAAAGACCACAGAAACAGCUGAAUGCAAUCCAGUUACACCACAAUAAUGCACAACCUCACACUUCUUUGGCAACAUCACAGAUUCUUGCAAAAAUGGGAUGGUCAGUGGUACCACAUCCACUUUACAGCCCUGAUCUCACACCCUUAGACUUCCAAUUGUUCGGUCAAAUGAAGGAAAAUCUUCGGGGACGGUGCUUAAAUAAUAUAGGUGAAGUGACAGACGCUAUCAGAUGCUGGGUGAGGGAGUGUCCCAAAAACGAUUCCAAAGUGGCUUUGAUAAGUGGUUUAACGGUGGCGCAAAUGCAUCGCCACUAGAGGAGACUAUUUUGAAUAGUUCCAUAUUGUAGAUAAAGAGUUACUCUACACAUGUAGGUAGUUCCACAUGUCUUGUGUUGUUAAUAAAUGACUUAUGACCUGAAA